rnacentral:misc_RNA from 1 species
GAGGUCAAAUCCUGCUGAAC